GGCUUAAUGCGUGCAAAACAAGAUCUCUGAAGCUUCUACCUUUCUCUCGUUGCCCGCCGCUGUGACGUUCCUCUUCUGAAAACUCUCAGUUGCUUCCUUCACUUAUGCUGGACGCUUCACUCUCCUCCAUCGUGACCUCUUCAACUGUCCACCGCGGCUUCCUCCGCUCUCCCCUACAGCGACGCCAUUGCUCCUUCGUUUUUUUUUUUCUUUCCCCCUAUCGGUUACACGGCUAAAACCUCCAUUUUUCUUUUCUCUCUGCCCCAUCGCCUCCAUAUGCCUUUUCUCUCGAGCAUCCUGCACAGAGGAAAAAGGGGUGGAGGGGAGUGGAUGGCUUUCAUCACCAUUCUUCAUCCUACAGGCAGCUGUAGCGCACUGUUGGAUGAAUAGGAGGGCUGACUCUUCCUCCCUUUGCAUUCUCACGACGUUCUCUCCCGCGUUGAUCAGCUAUUUCAGGUGAGAAUCUGAUUUUCCGGCUGCCCUCCCUCCUUCAUCCUCUGGCGACUUACCGUGAGCAUCGAAUUGGUGACAGCAUAAUUGAUUUUAUGAACUUGUGAAUCGGCGACAACAACGCUACAAGGAAUCCAUUGCGUUCAAGUGCCAACCGCUCGAGGUCACACGAUUUUGUGGACCCCGUCCUAAUGAUAAUGGAAUUUUCUAGAGGCACUUCCAACUCCACAAAUGUUUGUCCAAUUCAGGCA